UUGAGCUACGAGCAAAGCAAUCAGAAAGGCAAUGUGUGUGUGUUUGACUGUGUCCAUGUGUGUGUGUUUUAUUGCAGACUUGGAGUGACCUUCUUACCACAGAGGAUGUGGGAGUGAGGGGAAAGAGACAGUUCUUUGCUCUUCGUGUGUCUUAAAGAGCAGUCUCUCGAUCAGAUAAAAGAGCCCAAAAAAUAAACAGUGGAAAAAUCCAGCCUUGUUAUAUCCUUGGUGUUCAGGGUCUCUCUAAAGUCUGAAUGACCUCGAGAAGAUAAGUUGUUGUCAAUCAAAUCCUACUACAACAGCUGUGCUCAGGAUGCGUGCCAUCAGAUAUUUAUGCCAGGCAGCAGUGCAACCAUUUCCUCAUAUCUGGCUUCUCUAAUUUAUGCAUUUCUACCCUUCUGGUUUGAAAAACAGGCUGAAUCCAGUGGAAUCUUUCUGGUUGCUUUGAAGUUGAAAUAGCAAUGGGCAGAACCAUAUUGACCAGACCCUGCUCACUGUGACUCCACAGUCCUGCACUUUCUGAACCCUGCACUUUAACCCAUGACCCUUCCCUCCAAUCGGAUAAGUUGCCGACGUCACAGUUUCACAAAAAAUUGUGAGGUUGCAGAGUUCAGUAUCAUACAGCUACGGGGCUUUUGGCCGUCUUUCAGCAUCUGAAAGAGCAUCCAAAUCCACUCUGUGGCUGUAGGCUUACAUAGCAAAACACAGGGCGGCGAGCUCGUGACUCCUGGAGGAAAUUGCUGAGGGCACAGGAAACCCACAGCUAAACACAGGUUCUCACGGUGUAUUAAUGAGCCCCUGACUGAGAGAUGAGCACUUUAUACCACAGAGCCGAUACCAAGAGCAGUCGACGGCCAGCCAAGUGUGGGAGGUUGCUGGAGCCCUGACACGGGGUUCGAAAGGUCUCGUAGGUGAAGUCUGCGUCGCUGCUGGUUUUGCUCUGACGCAGCAUCAGGAGAAACUCCAGUCCUUGUGCUACAUUUCAGAAGCAAAACAUCAACAGAGGCAGUUCUAUACAAGCAUCGUAAAAACAAGAGUAAUAGUAAGAGAGGGGGGAAUGUGGUUACACUACAACAUAACCAAAAUCAUGUGUGUGGUUUUAUGAAGUUAGACAGCCCAAUAAUGAUGGAGUAUUAAAUGAUUGUAGCGCCAUGGUUUGAUGGUUUGAGCGUGGGGGGGUGAAGGGAACAUGGGGGUGUGUGGGCACAUAUGAAAAAGCCAGCCUUCUCCCAUGAACUCCUCUGGCACCCAGAACUUGGAUUUCGCAAACGCGUCCAACCUACUACAACCACCCCUUCCCUUCUAUUGUCACUACUGGUGCCUAAAAUAACUCAUGUUCCUAAAGGAGGCACGUUUUCUGCUGGGUUUUCAAAUACUACAGUGUUGUUCUGCUGGCACUAGGAAAACAGGAGAGGUUAGGGAGGUCACCCUCUGGGCUAACAGGAGCCACUGCCAUGUUUAGAUGCUGCAACAACCACGAUAUAUAACCACUGGACCGUCUGUGGACACACAGCCUUAAUGAGGUGGUCCAACCGUAGCAUAUAACAUUAUCCCAUUGUGCAUGUUUUUAGAGAACGCUGUUGCAAGUGGAUUAUAAUAGAGCACGAAGAGGAAUUAAUAGCAUUCUCAUAUUUUUUUUUAGAUGCAUAGCUAAAGUGACAUUGCUUGGCAUUUCCACAGCUAGACGAUGCGCAAACUGUAGAAUCACUUUUUCAGUCACUGAAAGCUGCAGUAAUCAACACUGAGAGUUAGAAGUGUAUCAUAAACUAUGUUUAAUGGUAGAAGUGGAUCCUCGGAAAGGAAAAAAUAGGAGAGUAAUUUGCCAGUUAAUGUUUGGGUUUUAGGCCCAUAGUGCUCGUGUUGUGAUUCAUUCCUACAAUGCUUAUCGAGUUACCAGCUUGAAUUAGCUUUUUUAGGAAAAAAAAAGCUUUGACAAAGUAACAUGUCCAGAGCUAAGUUAGUAACAGGCGGGUAAAUAGAGUGAUACAUGUAAUAGCUAGGUAGACAAAUAUUACCCUCUGAGUUUUUGAAACCAAAACAGAGCUAAUAUUGGCCUUUCAUUCAUUGGGUGGUCAGAAACAGGACCCAAAGUAAAUGUUAGCAUUCAUCUGUCACUGCUAGAUAUGGAAUAUAUGUUGUAAAUGUGGUCUGCAAAGCAAGUGUCACAGUCACUGUGUGGCUAAAAAUCGAUUAAUAUAGCUUUAAAUAAAUAGUUUGACAUUUUAGAACUUGUGUUUACUCUCUUUCUUCAACACC